UAAGUAGAACAGGCGAUCGCAGCCACGGCAGCGUGGGUGAGGAAAGUCCGGGCUUCACAGGGCAGGAUGCCGGAUAACGUCCGGUGGAGGCGACUCCAAGGCCAGUGCAACAGAAAUAUACCGCCUGGAGAUAUUUUCUCCGGGUAAGGGUGGAAAGGCAGCUUAAGAGACUACCGUCCGUCCGGUAACAGGCGGAGCCAUGUAAACCCCAUCCGAAGCAAGACCAAAACGAGAGCUACAGGCUUGCCCGGCCUGCUUUCAGGUAGGUCGCUGGAGGCACCUGGCAACAGGUGUCCUAGAUAGAUGAUCGCUCAACGACAUAACCCGGCUUAUCGUUCUGCUUAUGAU
rnacentral:RNase_P_RNA from 1 species